GAAAUUUCGUUGGCUGGUAGACAUUUUUUAACCCCCAAUUUCAUUGUAAUAAUUAACAACUUAAUGUGACUUUUAAUCAGUCGGUCGAUGGUUCGAACCCAUCGGGGUUCACCA
rnacentral:tRNA from 1 species